ensembl:lncRNA
CUAGCUGCCAGAAAUAUCUCAGUAUACUAUCACACUUUCUUCAGAUUCAUGUGCCAUGAGUGGGGCUAUGUUCACUGAUCACACUUUGCUACAAAUUAUAGGAAUGCUGAAUCACUUGGAGGAUCUGACUUAUAAAUGAUUGGCUUCAGCUGGAAUUAGAAUGAAAGGCAGGGAGCCUUGAUUCUCUUAUCUUCUGCCAAGCUCUCCAGUUUACCUUCCCUUGGAGACACCAAGAUAGUAGUAUUGGAAGAGGAAAACUGAAGAGAUUGAGCUUCUAGCAGUGGGGCUGAGUUGAAUGAAACAAGCUAACUAGUAGGAGAGAAACUGGCAUGAGCUGGGAACUGCAACAAGCUGGCUUAAGGACCGGUUUACAGCUGGAAGGGAAAGGAGGCUCACUGUGUUGAUAAAAGGAAGUGGGAGGUACCUAUAUGGAUAGAAACUGCCAGACAGAAGAUUCUUUAACAGAGCAGGAAGGUACUCGGACAUCAGUGUCCAACCUUCUUGCUUUCCUGGGUGAAGAAAGAGGAAUGCUCUUGGGCUGCAUACACCUCUGAGACAGCAUCCAGAUGGUCUGCUCCUGACUGAACCCUUUCUGGAAGGAGCUCCGCUCCUGUCACUCACAGGAGGAGGAUGCUGGUCUGACAGCGGCUGCAGAGCAGAGAGCUUUUCCCUUUCCCUAGCAGCUUGGAUAGAGAUACACUGGAAAGAGAGGGAAAGAUUUCUGUGUGUUAAGCAUAUAAGUGUGUAAUUUAUGUUUGUGUGGAGUUGCAUAUGGACAUAUAAACAAACUGUGGAGAACAUUAGGCAUCAAUGUACUGUUAGUUGCCUCCCCCUUCCCUGCUUUGAGCAAGCAGCCUGUGUUUUCAGAUGAUGUUUUCUAACCUGAAGCGCUACCAGUAUUUGCAGGAUUUCCUACUGGUUUUAAAUGGAACCUAGAAUUUUCUAAAUGUGACAGGUAUUGAGGCUCUGCAGCAAAGGAACCAACUAUGUGUAACUGCCUCAGAAGCUUUUCCAGUGCCUGGGCAGGUGCUCUCACUGUAAAUACCUUCCCCAGAGGUAUGGGAAAUUCAGAAGUUCAUCUGUGAGAAGGAAAAAGUUCCUAAUGGUGAUAUUUCAGUCCCAAUUUUGCACAGGCUGGACAAGAUUAGACCUAAUUUGCUAUAUAUACUCCUGAUGAAUGUUAGGAACUUUAAAUUCCUUUUAGCGAAUUCCUUUUCUAUGGAGAGUUCUUGAUUUAUAAGCAAAACCUACUACUAUGCAGUAUUUCUAAAGAACUGAAGACAUACACUUCAAAUUUAAAUUACUUGUGAUGCACGUAGUCUAAAAAUGGAAAUGCCCCUGCAAAUCAUAUGAUGCUGAUGAUUUCUCCAGUGAAGAGUUAAGUGAGUCAGUCUAUCUGGUCUUAACAAUUAGGGGCAGAAAUCAUUAAUAAUUUAAUUCAAUUAUAACCACUCCUUUGACUAUGGCUGGUGUAGUAAAUUGCAAAUAUGAAAUGCUCAUGCAGUAAUUGUUCUGAAGAUCAUUCAGGACAAAUAAGACUGAAAAAGAUGUUAA